GACGAACGCUGGCGGCGUGCUUAACACAUGCAAGUCGAACGGAAAGGCCAGUGCUUGCCCUGGUACUCGAGUGGCGAACGGGUGAGUAACACGUGGGUGAUCUGCCCUGUACUUCGGGAUAAGCUUGGGAAACUGGGUCUAAUACCGGAUAGGACAACUUUUUGGAUAUUGUUGUGGAAAGCUUUUGCGGUAUGGGAUGAGCUCGCGGCCUAUCAGCUUGUUGGUGGGGUAAUGGCCUACCAAGGCGUCGACGGGUAGCCGGCCUGAGAGGGUGUACGGCCACAUUGGGACUGCGAUACGGCCCAGACUCCUACGGGAGGCAGCAGUGGGGAAUAUUGCACAAUGGGCGCAAGCCUGAUGCAGCGACGCCGCGUGGGGGAUGAAGGCCUUCGGGUUGUAAACUCCUUUCGCUAGGGACGAAGCGUAAGUGACGGUACCUGGAGAAGAAGCACCGGCUAACUACGUG
rnacentral:rRNA from 1 species